rnacentral:rRNA from 1 species
AGAAUCAACGCUGGCGGCGUGCCUAACACAUGCAAGUCGAACGAGAAAGUGGAGCAAUCCAUGAGUACAGUGGCGUACGGGUGAGUAACACGUGACUAACCUACCCUCGAGUGGGGAAUAACCUCGGGAAACCGGGGCUAAUACCGCAUAACAUCUACGGAUCAAAUGACGUAAGCAGCUUGAGGAGGGGGUCGCGGCUGAUUAGCUAGUUGGCGGGGUAAUGGCCCACCAAGGCGGUGAUCAGUA